GACCCCUGGUUGGUUGGUUGCUCGCGCGUGUCCAUCGAAGCCACCGUCGCACAUCAUCUCUAGUCUCAAUUACCGACGAUGUCGGUAGUUUGUAAUGUCUGCUUAGUCAGUAUACCGGCGAGCCCAGUCAACUAGUGACGACCAGGUGCGGCCAUGUGUACCACGAGUUCUGUCUGGGUACGUGGCUGGAAACUGAACAGAGCUGCGCCACCUGCAGAACUCCCGUGCCAGAAGCAAGCAUCGUUCAUUUACAUGGCGUGGAGUUCAAACCAUGCGAUUGUGCCGAUGUCAGAGAGGAAAAGGAGACCGCAAUGGCGGAGUUGCGCAGUUUAAAAGCGGAGCUUCAUGAACUGACCGAGAAAUUGGCAAGCGCGGAGCGCAAGAAAACUAUCGCACUGUCGGAAAGUAGGCGAUUGGAGAAAAUGGCCGUAGGCCUUAGCAAACGAUUUAUGAACGUGACCACUGAAUUGACGGAGGCUAGGUCAGAGCUGGCCAGAGCUCGAGAAGAAGUUUCUAAAAACCAGUGGUUAAGAAGACAAGCCAUCCGGCUCGUGGCAAACAUGACUGCCAGAAGCUGGCGGAAAAUGAGCUCGACAUGGACGUCGACGAUGUGGUGGACGAUCACGAGAUGGACGCCGGUCAGCAAGGCGAGCAAGGAGGACAAGAGCAUAGACGAGAGCAAGGACGACUGUAAGCUCCUGUGCUUUACUGUAAAGGAGUCAGGCUCCUUCCUUUGCAGUUUUUCGUCUGGCGGAGGUGGCACCAAUAGGGCUAAAAAAGUUAUCCCUUGUGGAAUAAAAGUUACUUUUUAUUAUCA